AUUGAACGCUGGCGGCAUGCCUUACACAUGCAAGUCGAACGGCAGCACGGGUGCUUGCACCUGGUGGCGAGUGGCGAACGGGUGAGUAAUACAUCGGAACAUGUCCUGUAGUGGGGGAUAGCCCGGCGAAAGCCGGAUUAAUACCGCAUACGAUCCACGGAUGAAAGCGGGGGACCUUCGGGCCUCGCGCUAUAGGGUUGGCCGAUGGCUGAUUAGCUAGUUGGUGGGGUAAAGGCCUACCAAGGCGACGAUCAGUAGCUGGUCUGAGAGGACGACCAGCCACACUGGGACUGAGACACGGCCCAGACUCCUACGGGAGGCAGCAGUCGGGAAUUUUGGACAAUGGGCGAAAGCCUGAUCCAGCAAUGCCGCGUGUGUGAAGAAGGCCUUCGGGUUGUAAAGCGCUUUUGUCCGGAAAGAAAUCCUUGGCUCUAAUACAGUCGGGGGAUGACGGUACCGGAAGAAUAAGCACCGGCUAACUACGUG
rnacentral:rRNA from 1 species